GUGGGGAAUUUUGGACAAUGGGCGCAAGCCUGAUCCAGCAAUGCCGCGUGUGUGAAGAAGGCCUUCGGGUUGUAAAGCACUUUUGGCAGGAAAGAAAUAGCGCGUGCUAAUACCAUGCGCGAAUGACGGUACCUGCAGAAUAAGCACCGGCUAACUACGUGCCAGCAGCCGCGGUAAGACGUAGGGUGCAAGCGUUAAUCGGAAUUACUGGGCGUAAAGCGUGCGCAGGCGGUUUUGUAAGACAGGGGUGAAAUCCCCGGGCUCAACCUGGGAACUGCACUUGUGACUACAAGGCUAGAGUGUGUCAGAGGGUAGUGGAAUUCCGCGUGUAGCAGUGAAAUGCGUAGAGAUGCGGAGGAACACCGAUGGCGAAGGCAGCCUCCUGGGAUAACACUGACGCUCAGGCACGAAAGCGUGGGGAGCAAACAGGAUUAGAUACCCGAGUAGUCC
rnacentral:rRNA from 1 species